AAGUCGUAACAAGGUAUCCGUAGGUGAACCUGCGGAUGGAUCAUUACUAAAAUAUCCAUCCUACGUAAUGUGAACCAUAGUCAAUGUUUGGUGUGCUGUAAUGGCCACCGGUAUUGACUACACUGUAUGUAAAUUUAAACUGACUGAGAGUACUAUACUUAUAGUAACCAAUGAGAACUUUUAGCAACGGAUCUCUUGGCUCUC
rnacentral:misc_RNA from 1 species